GUUAAAGAAGAGUGUCACAUGGAGGAAGAAGGAAACUGAAUCUCUGUGUCUCCAGAAGGCAGUUCUAGGACCAGUGCAUGGGAAUUUCAGGGAACAGAUAUGGGUUCAUGUUAAGGAAAAUCUUGCUAAGUGAGCUGCUCAAUGCUGCUUUUAAAGAUGAGCAAACUGAGUCUCAGUUGCUAUGUCCAGCAUCACAGUAGGUACUAAGUAAAUGGAGG
rnacentral:lncRNA from 1 species